GGCGCAUCUAUUGGAAGAUGCGUAUGAAAAAAGAAAAUUCUAAAUAAUGUCCUAAUUGCAAUUGUGAGAUUACGACUGGUGUUCCAUAUACUCCUACUUACUGCAGGUGUAUGUAUUAAUGUAAGGAAGGCUGUUAUAGGAUGGCAUUUAAAGAACCGCUCUACUUGCCAACGCCGAGUGACAAAGACAAUAAAUCGCAAGGAUCACAGCAACCGCUAGAAUUAAAUAUAUGUUGUAUCUUGUGUGAAAAUACGUAUUCAACAACAAACCAUCAAAACCUUUUGAAACAUCUGUUGGAAGUGCACAGCUUUGUGAUUGAAGAUGCACUGGCAAUUGCUGAUUUGGCUGCGUAUUGCAGAUAUUGGAAGCAGCGACUGAUGACAACUGAGCUGAGCUGGAUCUGUGCCACGAUUUAUACAACAGAAAAUAAAAAGUUCUUCAUGCUCACCAAAGCGCUUCCUGAGGACGUUAAGCUACGUGACGAUCUACGAAGAAAACGCCAGGAAGAGAUUCUUAAACCACUGCUCGAGCAGAAACAGACAGAACGUGCGGACGAGUCGAAGGUUCGCAAUUGCCUCUUUUGUAAAAAAACGUUUCAGGGAAAGCCCCACGAACUCUUUCAACAUAUGUAUAUUAACCACAAUUUCAACGUUGGUCGCGCUGACAAUCUCGUUCACAUCGACGAAUUUCUAUCACUACUUCAGGACAAACUGAAUCGGCUUAUAUGUCUUUAUUGUGAAAAGACGUUUAAAAACUGGGACGUCCUCAAGGAGCACAUGCGCAAGAAACAGCAUAAACAUUUGAAUCCAAAUAACAAGACAUAUGAUCGAUUCUAUAUUGUUAGUUAUCUCUUCGGUGAAGCGGAUGGUUUAAGUGGCACUGUAGAUUGUAGUGCCGGGAGGCGCUAUGAUCUCGGUGAUCGGGACGCGGACCUCAAUGAUGACGAACAUCUCGAUCGCUUUGAGGAUUGGAACGAGGAACAGCGGUUUGACUUAAUUUGCCUCUUCUGCGAUCAUUAUGAAAUACAAUGGGACGAUGCGUUUGCUCAUAUGAAGGAGAAGCACGCUUUCGACUUUGGCAAUGUCCGUACAGGGCUGGGAUUUUAUGAUCAAGUGAAACUUAUCAAUUAUAUCCGACGACAAACACAUAUCAAUGUUUGCUAUUUAUGCAAAGCUGCACAUGAGUCUCGGGCUGAUCUUCUCAAGCAUCUUGAUACGACACACGCAGACGGAGGCACGCCGGCCAAAUCUUUAUGGGAUCAACCGGGAUACUUCUUUCCGACGUAUGAAAACGACCAGCUCCUGUUGGCUCUGGAAGAUAACCAGGAUGAAGCGAACGAGGAAUGGGUCGUACCAGAAGAUACAGUACAGCCUAAUACGAAGUUACUGGAACAGCUGUCGUUAGAACAGGCUGAGGAGGAUGGAAAAGGAGACCCAUGACCUGUUUAGAGUGAGUUAGACUAAUCGGAGAAAAAAGUAGCUGACUGUGAUAAACUUUUUAGAAGAAUCUUCAUUCGACGUGUUUGCAUCGUUUCUUAGGAAUUCGGGAAUCUGAGAAGUUUCAUCAAGGUUUUUCUAUAUAAAGUAUGCGUUAUCAGAGAAGAAUACAAAAACGAACAUUUUAAAUUUCU